GCUGACGAGUGGCGGACGGGUGAGUAAUGUCUGGGAAACUGCCUGAUGGAGGGGGAUAACUACUGGAAACGGUGGCUAAUACCGCAUAACGUCGCAAGACCAAAGAGGGGGACCUUCGGGCCUCUUGCCAUCAGAUGUGCCCAGAUGGGAUUAGCUAGUUGGUGAGGUAACGGCUCACCAAGGCGACGAUCCCUAGCUGGUCUGAGAGGAUGACCAGCCACACUGGAACUGAGACACGGUCCAGACUCCUACGGGAGGCAGCAGUGGGGAAUAUUGCACAAUGG
rnacentral:rRNA from 1 species